ACAGCAGUAGCCGCGGUAAUACGAACCGUGCGAACGUUAUUCGGAAUCACUGGGCUUAAAGCGCGUGUAGGCGGGCCGCCACGUCGGCUGCUGAAAUCCCCCGGCUCAACCGGGGAAGUGGCACCGAUACGAGCGGCCUCGAGGGGGGUAGGGGGCACUGGAACUUCCGGUGGAGCGGUGAAAUGCGUUGAGAUCGGAAGGAACGCCCGUGGCGAAAGCGAGUGCCUGGACCCUUUCUGACGCUGAGGAGCGAAAGCGUGGGGAGCGAACAGGAUUAGAUACCCGCGUAGUCCCUGUCUCUUAUU
rnacentral:rRNA from 1 species